UAGCAUUUAUCUACUGUGUGUUGAAAGUGGUGGGGGUAUGCGAUUAGGAAAUCUUUAAAUGAAGUUUGAAGGGGAGCUAUCUCGACAUUAUUCAAAAUUGAACAACUGGAUGCCCGGUAGUAUAGAGGUCUUGCCACAUCCCAUUACAACACACAUUGCAACACCCCUCUCUUCCUGAAAGUGUCUUUUCAGGGCCAUGCACCAGCCCCCUUGGAUCCUUCUGUGAAUGUCCAACUGGGAAUCAGUAGACCAUCUGUGUUCUCCGUCUCCCUCACCUGCAGCUAAGGGCAUGUCAUGGAGACAGAAGAACCACACUGAUGGGUUCUGCCUCAAACUCAUGGACUUUAAACUCAUCCUGCACAUGGAAUCUGGAGGCAUGAACUUUCCACAUUCUGUGAUGAUCCCAGGACCGCCUGGAGUUGUGGAAAGAACGCAGGCUUUGGGGUAAGCUGGAGUCAGAGCUCAGCCACGUAGUGACUCCCUGACUUCUGAGGAUUCAGACCCACAACUGAAAACCGUGCCGUGCCAGAGGACUGAUUGUGAGCCGCGGUUAUUGCUUCUGAGCAAAGCACGACGUUCAGACCCGGCUGUCGGGGGUGAGACGGAGAAUUGGCAGAGUUGGUCACUGCUAAAGAAAAUGUUUUCUUUGCUUGAUCAAUUUUAAAGCUUAUGCCAUGGGGAAAUUUAUAAUGAUUGGAAUUUGGAAGAUGUUAUAAAUACCAAUAAAUUUACCAUCCCUUUGGGAUUAUUCAGAAAGUAAUGAAUUAUACACACUCCUUUCCAAACUAGAAACCUCAGCAUAGGAUUGGAGCUACUGACACAGCAAGACGUAACUGUUGACUACUUGGUAUAAUUUUGCUGUGCAUUUCAAGGAUGGAUUUUCUUAAAAAAAAUUCCUGCCACCAAAUUAAAUCUUCAAGAGACAAUAAUAAAAGACUUUCAAAGGACCUGAGUUUACAAGGUUACUUCUGAGCCACGUGUUCAAGUCCUGUUUCAAUCCUCUGCCCAUGGUCAGAACUGUACUGCAGAAUAUGGAAAGCUAAAAAUUGUAUUUCCCGAUCUUCACUGCACCCAGGAUUACAGGUAGGGUUUAUGGUCCACCAUUCAGAUGCACCCAUGCUAGAUUUAAAUUUGGAAAUAAAAUUGGUGACAAGAGAGAACCAGCAUGGGAAAUCCAUUUUCUGGUGUGGUUUGUAGCAGAAGAUGCAUGUUUUGGAAACAGCAACUCCAGCAGUCAAAAUAAUGUUCUAAAGUCACUAGAAGUAGCUUUUUUCUUUGCUUGGCCAUGUUACCAUCCUGGUAUAUAAUGCAGUUUAUUCAUUUUAGAUUGUUUCAGGAAUUACCUUGUAAUUAAUAUGUAUUUUUUGAUAUGUAAACCUUUUAUGUUUCCAAGAUCAAAACUGGAAGUAGACGCAUUCAGAGAAGUCUAGUUUCCAUUCCCACGGGCUCCACCUUGUUUAUCCUUUUUUCUUUAUGUAAUAGAAUAUCUUUAUUAGUUUUUGUUUUAUAUUUCUGCCACCUCUUUUUGCAAAUAUGGUACAUUUUUAUCUGUAUUUCCCUUUAUUCUUUACACAAAAGGCAGAUGCCCUAUUAGCUGUUAUGCAUCUUGCCUUUUUUCUCUUUGUAUGUCCUUGAGCCUGUUUCACAUUAGAGAAAGGGGAUGGUCCCGUCCCCCUGGCUGUGUUGCCGCUGCAGUGGCUUCCAUGGGGAGCUGCGAUUCUUCAUUCAGUAAGCUGCUGGCUUCGGGGCUGAGUUGUACAUAUGUGAAUUCAUGUUAAGGAAGUAUGCAUCAAUUCUUCCUUAGUUGAAUAUUUGUAAAAUCAUAUUUUGUCAAGUGAAGACAGAAACCAAGAGAAUUUAAUAUGCAGAACUGUCAGUGUGCUGAGAAGUCAGCCGCUACCACCUCUCAGGCUGGGGGAGCAAAGGCAGAAGGGGGGGCCCCACAGACCUCAGACCUCUGAGAAAUGAGGGGGGGCGGCGAGUGCUUGGCUGGUGCUGGAGUCUCUGAGCUGCAGAGAUGUCUCUGGAGCAGAGAUGCCACCUCUGCGGAGGGGCCCAGGCCAGCUGGAGGAGUGAGCACUGGAAAAAUAGCAAACGGAAUUCAAAUGCUGCUAUUGGAAGAAACCACCAUGGCUGAGGUGAUGGAGCAAGGUUGGGAUGAUAAGGAGAAGACCAGGUUGCAAACAGGAAACUGACAGGAAGCAAAUGGGAAAGACCAGGUGUCCCUCUCCCCUCCCCAGUGUCACAGCCUCCCUCCAGCAGCCCCAACUGUCCGAGGCUAACAGGUAGCAGCUGACAAACCAGGGAUGUGGCUAACGAGUCCCAGCCCCAGUGCUGCAGAGCUGACAGAGAAGGGCGGACUGGAACCUAAGGCACGGCAGCUCAAUAACCGGCACAGCACCUGUAGAAAUGACGGGACUUUUCUUCUUGGAGAUAUGAAUAUCAUGAAUUAUAUUCAUGGCUUUUCUAAUACCAAUUUCAUGUUUCACUCCUGGAACGAAUCUCACUUGGUCACGAUGAAUUAUUUUCUUAAUAUAUUAUUUACUGAUAUUUCCUUUAAUAUUUAUGUUAAUAUUCAUAAGUGAUAUUGGGUUAUAGCUUUUUUAGGGCAAUAUUUAUUGGAUAUUGAUAUCAAUAUUAAAUUUGCUUCCUAAAAAGAAUUUGGAAGCUAUAGUUCCUUUCCCAUGUUCUGUGACAGUUUAAGUAGUCUUGGGGUUAUCUGAUCUUUAAAGGAUUGGUAAAGUGCCCUGGGAAACCACGGCCUGGUAUAUUUUUUGGAUAGAACUUUUUGCAAUUUUCUACAUAGCUCAUGAUGUAAUUGGUUUGCUUGGAUUUUCUAUCUCCUAAAAGAUUCAGAUUUGGAAAAUUAUAUUUUCCUAAAAAUUAUUUUGUACAGAUUGGCAAAUUUAUAAUCACUUUUAACUCAUUUGUGUCUUUCUCUAUAAAGUACGUUUCUUUGAGUCUUGCUUCUGUAUCCAUUUGACAAUUUCUGCCCACAGAUCAGGCUUUUUAAACAUUUACAUUUUAAUGUCAUUAUUGAUAUUGUUAGGUUUAAAUCUAUCAUUUUCUUGUUUGUUUUAUGUUUGUCUCAUCUUUUUGUCUUCCCUUUUGUCUUUUUCUGCCUUCUUUUGGAUUAAUUAAAUAUUUUAUCCCAUUUCAUGUUCUUUGUUGGCUUAUUAGCUAUGACUUUUUGUUGGGUUUUUUAAGUGGUUGCUUUAGAGUUUGUAUCACACAUCUGUAACAUAUCACAGUCUUCAUCUAAGUGAAUUAUAACAUGAAUUCUUUAAGAACCUUACAAAAGUAGACUUCCAUCUCUCCCCUCCUGGCCUUGUGCUAUUGUCAUACAUUUUACAUUUGCCUGUGUUAUGUAAGCCCUAUACUAUACUGCUAUUAUUUUUGUUCAAAGAGUCAAUAAUUUUUCAAAGGAUUUAAAAUAUAUAUAUAUUUACAAGGGUAAAAUUGUUCUGACCAGGGUUGGUGUUCUUUAUUCAUUUGGACAGAUCCACAUUUCCAUCUAGUAUCAUUUUCCUUCUAUUCACAUUCUUUCUUGUUUCCUGUGUUGCGAACCUAUUGAUGAUGAAUUAUUUCAACCCUUGUAAGUGUAAAAAGGUAUUUUGCUUUCAGUUUUGAAACAUAUUUAUGUUGGAUAUGCUGGUUUGUUCCUACCUACUUGCAGUUUGGGGUUUGUUUGCAAAUACUGUCUAGCUUUUGGUAGAUACUGCCUAUGGGUUUUUGGAUUUCAUAUUUUGGUUUCUGAGUCUAUAACUGUGGGGUUGGGGAUCUCAGAAAGAUUCAAAACCUAGGCAGCUGCUAGAAUCUUCCUUUUAGGUUUUGAAAAUCUUGGGUGUGAUGACAGAUUUUUCAUACAAUUAGGAUCUCACAGCCUUGCUGAGUGCUUUGUGAACACAUGGGACACUUUUUUUAUGCAUCCUAUAAGGAAAGUAGAAGGAAGCUCAUCGAGGGAGUGGAACAGAGCAGCUUACAGAGGGCACAUGCAGAAGCCGGUGAGGAAAUGUUCUGAUUGGCUGACAUUGAGUUUCCAUGUAUUUUGGGGGGUCAUACAGAGUGGGGAGCAGACAGACAUUGACCAGCAUGGAAAGACUGACCAUUCUGAUAAGCUCUCUCUACUGGGCCCAAACUAGUUUUAUCACCAGCUGUUGCUUAUUAGUGACCCUGUAGGGUGUGUUCCAUUUUCUCAGAAAACCCCUGCAUGUCAAUCGUUUUUGU